rnacentral:rRNA from 1 species
GGAUGAGGCUUCGGCAAUGGGGGAAACCCUGACCGAGCGACGCCGCGUGGGGGAUGAAGGCCCUUGGGUUGUAAACCCCUUUUAUUCGGGAAGAAAUGUGAUCAGGUGAACAAUCUGGUCAUUUGACGGUACCGGAUGAAUAAGCUCCGGCUAACUCCGUGCCAGCAGCCGCGGUAACACGGGGGGAGCAAGCGUUGUUCGGAAUCACUGGGCGUAAAGGGCGUGUAGGCGGUUCGGUAAGUGGAAUGUG